GAUGAACGCUGGCGGCGUGCCUAAUACAUGCGAGUCGAGCGAACAGACGAGGAGCUUGCUCCUCUGACGUUAGCGGCGGACGGGUGAGUAACACGUGGAUAACCUACCUAUAAGACUGGGAUAACUUCGGGAAACCGGAGCUAAUACCGGAUAAUAUAUUGAACCGCAUGGUUCAAUAGUGAAAGACGGUUUUGCUGUCACUUAUAGAUGGAUCCGCGCCGCAUUAGCUAGUUGGUAAGGUAACGGCUUACCAAGGCAACGAUGCGUAGCCGACCUGAGAGGGUGAUCGGCCACACUGGAACUGGAACACGGUCCAGACUCCUACGGGAGGCAGCAGUAGGGAAUCUUCCGCAAUGGGCGAAAGCCUGGCGGAGCAACGCCGCGUGAGUGAUGAAGGUCUUCGGAUCGUAAAACUCUGUUAUUAGGGAAGAACAAAUGUGUAAGUAACUAUGCACGUCUUGACGGUACCUAAUCAGAAAGCCACGGCUAACUACGUG
rnacentral:rRNA from 1 species